GGGCUGGACGAUUGCGGCACCCGCUCCUUCGCAUGGAGGGGCGUGGUGAUGAGGAAAGUCCGGGCUCCGCAGGGCAGGAUGCCGGCUAACGGCCGGGCGGGGUGACCCGACGGAUAGCGUCACAGAAAAGAAGACUCCCCGCGCGAUGCGCGGAGAAAAGCUGAAACGGUGCGGUAAAAGCGCACCAGCGUCGCGGUAACGCGGCGGCUUGACAAGCCCCAUCCGGAGCAAGGGCAAAUAGGGGUGCCAUGGACCGGCCCGGUUCGCACCCGGGUUGCCCGCUAGAGGACGUCGGCGACGGCGUUCGUAGAUAAAUGAUCGUCUUGGAUGACAGAACCCGGCUUACAGGCCCGCUUU
rnacentral:RNase_P_RNA from 1 species